GGGUGGUACACAGCUGUUGCAUGGCUGUCGUCAGCUUGUGACGUGAGUUGUUCUCUUAAGUGAGGUAACGAGCGCAACCCCCAUUCUGUGUUACUAUGUCACAGAAGACUGCCCAGCAUUAUUUUGUUGGGAGGAAGGAGGGGACGACGCCAAGUCAUCAUGAUGCUUAUAUCCGGGGCUACACACAUCCUACAAUGGGUGGUACAGAGGGUCGCAAUACCGCGAGGUGGAGCUAAUCCUUAAAACCUCCCUCAGUUGGGAUUGCAGGCUGAAACUCGCCUGCAUGAACUUGGAAUUGGUAGUAAUCGCAAAUCAGCAGAUUGCGGUGAAUACGUUCUCGCCUCUU
rnacentral:rRNA from 1 species